rnacentral:rRNA from 1 species
GAGUUUGAACCUGGCUCAGGAUGAACGCUGGCGGCGUGCCUAAUACAUGCAAGUCGAGCGAACAGAUAAGGAGCUUGCUCCUUUGAAGUUAGCGGCGGACGGGUGAGUAACACGUGGGUAACCUACCUAUAAGACUGGGAUAACUUCGGGAAACCGGAGCUAAUACCGGAUAAUAUUUAGAACCGCAUGGUUCUAAAGUGAAAGAUGGUUUUGCUAUCACUUAUAGAUGGACCCGCGCCGUAUUAGCUAGUUGGUAAGGUAACGGCUUACCAAGGCGACGAUACGUAGCCGACCUGAGAGGGUGAUCGGCCACACUGGAACUGAGACACGGUCCAGACUCCUACGGGAGGCAGCAGUAGGGAAUCUUCCGCAAUGGGCGAAAGCCUGACGGAGCAACGCCGCGUGAGUGAUGAAGGGUUUCGGCUCGUAAAACUCUGUUAUUAGGGAAGAACAAAUGUGUAAGUAACUGUGCACAUCUUGACGGUACCUAAUCAGAAAGCCACGGCUAACUACGUGCCAGCAGCCGCGGUAAUACGUAGGUGGCAAGCGUUAUCCGGAAUUAUUGGGCGUAAAGCGCGCGUAGGCGGUUUCUUAAGUCUGAUGUGAAAGCCCACGGCUCAACCGUGGAGGGUCAUUGGAAACUGGGAAACUUGAGUGCAGAAGAGGAAAGUGGAAUUCCAUGUGUAGCGGUGAAAUGCGCAGAGAUAUGGAGGAACACCAGUGGCGAAGGCGA